AAAUAAUCAGUUCACACAGAGACCACGGUCUUCUUUAGGAUUCACUAGGUUUAUCACAGGAGCAGGCAACAGCAAAGCAAACUAUGCCAAAAAAGUUUUCUAUGCUACUGGUUUCAAAAGACAACUGGAGACUCAGAGCUGCAGGAGACCUUGAAGAAGAGGCAGGAGAGGAUUGAUUCUGGCAGCAAAGAAAGAGCCUGCAUGUGUGCCCACAACAACAAAGCCACGUGGUCUGUGUUUAUUCAGCUGUUUAAUGAAUGACUUUGUCUGACAUAUAGCCAAUUAUUUUUGUUUUACUCUAGUCCUCCUAGCCAGUAACAGAAGUCCUUUUUUAUUAUUUAAGUAUUAAUAUAAAUAAUGUUCCGGUUUUAAUAAGAAGUCAACAAUAAUUAAAUAAUCCUGCAUGAAGUUAUUGUCUAUAAUAGUGCAAUGCUGUCAUUACAUUUACUCAUUUGGCACUUUUAUCCAAAGCCACUUAUUUGAGGAGGAGGACAGCUAGUCAUCAAUCAUGACACCCAAGUCUGCAUGGUAGGAGAAACCAUGCAAGUAAAUGAUUGGCCCCAGUGUGGUGGUGUAAAUUGAGAAAAGAAGAGGCCUUAGCCAUGAGCCUUUGGACACCCCAGUGGAGAGACAGUGAGAGGAGGAAAUAUGUCUUUGCCAAGACACAUUGUAGGAAAUCCCAGAGAGGGCAGAGUUGUGGGCUGCAUCUCUGGUAGCUGGGCGUGUCUCCCCAGCUGCAGGCAAUCGGCGUUUCACACACCUGUCUCCUGUGAUCAUCAGGACUGGUUUAUACCCUGCUAUCUCCUCAGUUUCCCGCUGGAUUAUUAAGUCUUGUUUGUAGGUAACGCUACGGCCUGCUUAACCUGCCUCCUGUUACCCUGUACCAGUUUUUGACUCUGUUUUUUCUUGUGCCCUGCUUUGGUGUUUUGGAGACCCUGCUCUGCUCUUGUGUCGCUCAGUCACGGAGAAAGCCUGGCUGGAGAUUUCCCCACCGCAGUCUCACUUUUCUGUCAGCCCUGUUACCUGCCUUGCCUGGCCCUGGCACUUACCUGCCCCGCGACAUCGGAGGAACCUUACCCCCAGCAUCGAGCCAAAUCAAACCAUAUCUUGAUCUUGUAUUCAAUAAACCGUGUGAAUAUCCUUUUAA